rnacentral:rRNA from 1 species
AAGACAACAGGAUUGCCCAGUAACGGCGAGUGAAGCGGCAAAAGCUCAAAUUUGAAAUCCUGCGGGAAUUGUAAUUUGAAGGUUUCGUGGUCUGAGUCGGCCGCGCCCAAGUCCAUUGGAACAUGGCGCCUGGGAGGGUGAGAGCCCCGUAUGGCGCACGCCGACUCUUUGCACCGCGGCUCCGACGAGUCGAGUUGUUUGGGAAUGCAGCUCUAAGUGGGUGGUAAAUUCCAUCUAAAGCUAAAUAUUGGCGAGAGACCGAUAGCGAACAAGUACAGUGAUGGAAAGAUGAAAAGCACUUUGAAAAGAGAGUGAAACAGCACGUGAAAUUGUUGAAAGGGAAGGGCUUGCAAGCAGACACGGUUUUACCGGGCCAGCGUCGAAAAGGGGGGAGGAACAAGAACUCGAGAAUGUGGCGCGCACCUUCGGGCGCGCGUGUUAUAGCUCGUGUUGACGCCUCCAUCCCUUUUCGAGGCCUGCGAUUCUAGGACGCUGGCGUAAUGGUUGCAAGCCGCCCGUCUUGAAACACGGACCAAGGAGUCUAACGUCUAUGCGAGUGUUUGGGUGCAAAACCCCAGCGCGGAAUGAAAGUAAGAGGUUGGAGCCGCAAGGCGCACAAUCGACCGACCCUGAAGUGCUCGGACGGGUUUGAGUAGGAGCAUACCUGUUGGGACCCCGAAAGAUGGUGAACUAUGCCUGGAUAGGGUG